rnacentral:rRNA from 1 species
GGUUAAGUGACUAAGCGUACACGGUGGAUGCCUAGGCAGUCAGAGGCGAUGAAGGGCGUGCUAAUCUGCGAAAAGCGUCGGUAAGGUGAUAUGAACCGUUACAACCGGCGAUACCCGAAUGGGGAAACCCAGUGUGUUUCGACACACUAUCAUGUCAUGAAUACAUAGUGGCAUGAGGCGAACCGGGGGAACUGAAACAUCUAAGUACCCCGAGGAAAAGAAAUCAACCGAGAUUCCCCCAGUAGCGGCGAGCGAACGGGGAGGAGCCCAGAACCUGAAUCGGCUUGUGUGUUAGUGGAAGCGUCUGGAAAGUCGCGCAGCAAAGGGUGAUAGCCCCGUACACUAAAAUGCACAGGUCGUGAGUUCGAUGAGUAGGGCGGGACACGUGACAUCCUGUCUGAAUAUGGGGGGACCAUCCUCCAAGGCUAAAUACUCCUGACUGACCGAUAGUGAACCAGUACCGUGAGGGAAAGGCGAAAAGAACCCCGGCGAGGGGAGUGAAAUAGAACCUGAAACCGUGUACGUACAAGCAGUGGGAGCACCUUCGUGGUGUGACUGCGUACCUUUUGUAUAAUGGGUCAGCGACUUAUAUUUUGUAGCAAGGUUAACCGUAUAGGGGAGCCGUAGGGAAACCGAGUCUUAACUGGGCGAAUAGUUGCAAGGUAUAGACCCGAAACCCGGUGAUCUAGCCAUGGGCAGGUUGAAGGUUGGGUAACACUAACUGGAGGACCGAACCGACUAAUGUUGAAAAAUUAGCGGAUGACUUGUGGCUGGGGGUGAAAGGCCAAUCAAACCGGGAGAUAGCUGGUUCUCCCCGAAAGCUAUUUAGGUAGCGCCUCGUGAACUCAUCUUCGGGGGUAGAGCACUGUUUCGGCUAGGGGGCCAUCCCGGCUUACCAAACCGAUGCAAACUCCGAAUACCGAAGAAUGUUAUCACGGGAGACACACGGCGGGUGCUAACGUCCGUCGUGAAGAGGGAAACAACCCAGACCGCCAGCUAAGGUCCCAAAGUCAUGGUUAAGUGGGAAACGAUGUGGGAAGGCAUAGACAGCCAGGAUGUUGGCUUAGAAGCAGCCAUCAUUUAAAGAAAGCGUAAUAGCUCACUGGUCGAGUCGGCCUGCGCGGAAGAUGUAACGGGGCUAAACCAUGCACCGAAGCUGCGGCAGCGACGCUUAGGCGUUGUUGGGUAGGGGAGCGUUCUGUAAGCCGUUGAAGGUGGCCUGUGAGGGUUGCUGGAGGUAUCAGAAGUGCGAAUGCUGACAUAAGUAACGAUAAAGCGGGUGAAAAGCCCGCUCGCCGGAAGACCAAGGGUUCCUGUCCAACGUUAAUCGGGGCAGGGUGAGUCGACCCCUAAGGCGAGGCUGAAAAGCGUAGUCGAUGGGAAACAGGUUAAUAUUCCUGUACUUGGUGUUACUGCGAAGGGGGGACGGAGAAGGCUAGGCUAGCCGGGCGACGGUUGUCCCGGUUUAAGCGUGUAGGGGGUGUGACCUGGUAAAUCCGGUUGCAUAUCAACCCUGAGGCGUGAUGACGAUGCACUACGGUGCAGAAGUAGUUGAUGCCCUGCUUCCAGGAAAAGCCUCUAAGCUCCAGGUAACAUUGAAUCGUACCCCAAACCGACACAGGUGGUCAGGUAGAGAAUACCAAGGCGCUUGAGAGAACUCGGGUGAAGGAACUAGGCAAAAUGGUGCCGUAACUUCGGGAGAAGGCACGCUGGCAUGUAGGUGAAGUCCCUUGCGGAUGGAGCUGAAGCCAGUCGAAGAUACCAGCUGGCUGCAACUGUUUAAUAAAAACACAGCACUGUGCAAACACGAAAGUGGACGUAUACGGUGUGACGCCUGCCCGGUGCUGGAAGGUUAAUUGAUGGGGUCAGCCGCAAGGCGAAGCUCUUGAUCGAAGCCCCAGUAAACGGCGGCCGUAACUAUAACGGUCCUAAGGUAGCGAAAUUCCUUGUCGGGUAAGUUCCGACCUGCACGAAUGGCGUAAUGAUGGCCAGGCUGUCUCCACCCGAGACUCAGUGAAAUUGAACUCGCUGUGAAGAUGCAGUGUACCCGCGGCAAGACGGAAAGACCCCGUGAACCUUUACUAUAGCUUGACACUGAACAUUGAGCCUUGAUGUGUAGGAUAGGUGGGAGGCUUUGAAGCGUGGACGCCAGUCUGCGUGGAGCCAUCCUUGAAAUACCACCCUUUAAUGUUUGAUGUUCUAACUCGGCCCCAUAAUCUGGGGUGAGGACAGUGUCUGGUGGGUAGUUUGACUGGGGCGGUCUCCUCCCAAAGAGUAACGGAGGAGCACGAAGGUUAGCUAAUCACGGUCGGACAUCGUGAGGUUAGUGCAAAGGCAUAAGCUAGCUUGACUGCGAGAGUGACGGCUCGAGCAGGUACGAAAGUAGGUCUUAGUGAUCCGGUGGUUCUGAAUGGAAGGGCCAUCGCUCAACGGAUAAAAGGUACUCCGGGGAUAACAGGCUGAUACCGCCCAAGAGUUCAUAUCGACGGCGGUGUUUGGCACCUCGAUGUCGGCUCAUCACAUCCUGGGGCUGAAGUAGGUCCCAAGGGUAUGGCUGUUCGCCAUUUAAAGUGGUACGCGAGCUGGGUUUAGAACGUCGUGAGACAGUUCGGUCCCUAUCUGCCGUGGGCGUUGGAAGAUUGAGAGGGGUUGCUCCUAGUACGAGAGGACCGGAGUGAACGCACCACUGGUGUUCGGGUUGUCAUGCCAAUGGCAUUGCCCGGUAGCUAAGUGCGGAAAAGAUAAGCGCUGAAAGCAUCUAAGCGCGAAACUUGCCUCAAGAUGAGUCUUCCCUGGGCCUUUAAGG